GCACUAAAUGGAUUAAAUUAUUCUUUACCUAUUUAUAUAUUUACUGUAAGUACUUUUAAGUCCGUCUUAUAGAAAAUUUUAAAUCUUCUAACCGAAAAAAAAAAUUAUUGUAACUCACCUCAUUUCUUAUUUAUUUGCUGCACUUUGAUUUGUAUUGAAAUUUUAAAAUAAGGUUUUAAAUUCACCUUUAGGUGAAUUCACGACAACGGUAUACAAGCUAUUAAAAAUAAGUUUAAUAUUCUUGGUGGUUAUCAAUUACAUGGUAAGUUCCCCUAAAAUACUACAUUCAGCCGCCAUAAUAUUUAAGUUUGAGUUUAACAGUAAACAUUAAUUCUUGUUUUAAAUAUAUUAAUCUCCCUAUAAUUGGGUAUCUAAUCCAGGUUUAAUUUUUAGAGGUUACUAUAGUGUUAGUGCAGUUAAUUUACAAAAAUAAUAGUAUUUCACCACAUAUUAUAACUUUGUGUACUUUUAAUUAUUAAAACAAUUACUAUAAAUUUAUCUAAUAGGUAUGACCGCGGUUGCUGGCACCUAAUAAACCUAGACUAUAUAAUUAUCUAAAUUUAAAUUUCUUUAAUAAUUUAAAAUUUUUAACUGGAGAAAGUAAUUAUAUUCCAUAUUAAAUUAGACUAUAAACUUAUAGAUCCAUCAUAUUAAAGUGGUUAUCUAAGGGGGUUGUUUGCCAUUUUAGA
rnacentral:rRNA from 1 species